AACGCUAGCUACAGGCUUAACACAUGCAAGUCGAGGGGCAGCAUGAACUUAGCUUGCUAAGUUUGAUGGCGACCGGCGCACGGGUGAGUAACACGUAUCCAACCUGCCGAUGACUCGGGGAUAGCCUUUCGAAAGAAAGAUUAAUACCCGAUGGCAUAGUUCUUCCGCAUGGUAGAACUAUUAAAGAAUUUCGGUCAUCGAUGGGGAUGCGUUCCAUUAGGUUGUUGGCGGGGUAACGGCCCACCAAGCCUUCGAUGGAUAGGGGUUCUGAGAGGAAGGUCCCCCACAUUGGAACUGAGACACGGUCCAAACUCCUACGGGAGGCAGCAGUGAGGAAUAUUGGUCAAUGGACGAGAGUCUGAACCAGCCAAGUAGCGUGAAGGAUGACUGCCCUAUGGGUUGUAAACUACUUUUAUACGGGAAUAAAGUGAGGCACGUGUGCCUUUUUGUAUGUACCGUAUGAAUAAGGAUCGGCUAACUCCGUGCCAGCAGCCGCGGUAAUACGGAGGAUCCGAGCGUUAUCCGGAUUUAUUGGGUUUAAAGGGAGCGUAGGCGGACGCUUAAGUCAGUUGUGAAAGUUUGCGGCUCAACCGUAAAAUUGCAGUUGAUACUGGGUGUCUUGAGUACAGUAGAGGCAGGCGGAAUUCGUGGUGUAGCGGUGAAAUGCUUAGAUAUCACGAAGAACUCCGAUUG
rnacentral:rRNA from 1 species